AAAAAAGCUUACAUAAACUAAACCCUUAAGUUGCCCAUCCUAAAGUCACAUUCCUCUCUCAACUCUCAACAGAGCCGCCCGCCACCCCCCUACGCCCCUUCUUCUCUCUAUCAGGCGGUCGACGUUCCUCCGCCGCUUUCUCUGGCGUCUUGGUCCUUGUUGCUGUCGUGGCUCUCCUCUGUCGCUUCAUCUGGUCCUUAUUUCUGCGUCCGCUGGUCUAGUCCUUCCGCCGUCCGGUGCUGCUCCUCGCCGCCGUUCCUCAUCCUAAGUCACGUUGCCGCUGCCCCUUGCCACUUUCGUCUACGUCCUCAGUCACUGCAGAUAUUUGCUCAUAUUGGAUCGGACAAACUGGAGAACGAACAUGCUAACCUCACUCCUAGUCCCUUACAUUUUCUUUAGUCUUUCUGCAGCAAUAUUUAAUUUGUUAAGAGGGGAGGUCGGGAAAUGGAUUGCUUUCAUUGCAGUGGUGCUCAGGCUUUUCUUUCCUCGACACUUCCCAGGUAUCAAGUUCAUCUCUUUUUUCAAGCUCUAUUUAGCUUUGCCCUCUCAAAUUUCUUUUUGCCUUGUCCCCUCCAUUUGACUGUUAAUGAGCUGUGUUGCUCAAGAGAACUAGAAUUUCCCAAACUAGUAUGACAAUUUGGGAGAUAAGCAAUUAUCUUUUAACUUUGGUCAAUGUUCACCUCUGUGUAACUUUUGGAGAUGCUUCCUAAAUCUCAAUUAUGAACAAUGAACAUUUACCUAGUGCCCAUACAAUAUUUGUGAGAACAUGCAGAGGUAGUUUUCCAUAUUGGCUUGAUUUUGCUACAGCUAUAACCUAGGUUAUUCGGACUCGAAUAUGAGUGUGAGAAAUAGGUACAUAUUCUGAUAUACAGAAAUAUAGAUCUAAAUUUAGAUAUGGGUAUCGAAAUUAUGAUGAAUAAUAAAUUUAUAUAAAUUUGAAAAAUUUUUAUUCUCAAAAUUAGCAAUCAAUUGUUGUUUAAUUGUUUUAAUUUAUAUAAAUAAAAUAUAUUACACUUAACUUUAAAUUAAUUUUAAUUUUUUAUUAUAAACUUUUUGAAAUGAAGCCUACUGUGAAUGGAUUGGGAGUUGUUUUACGUAAGAUCUUUGAAAUGGGUUUGAAUUGCUAAUGGGAGAUUUCUGAAAUUUGUGGAAAUUCUAAGAUUUAUCUAAAUGUGCUGAGGUUGUAUUUGUGAGAUUUAUUGACAAAAUGUUGAAAUAAAGACUAUUGUGAAUGGUUUAAGAGUUGUUUUUGUGAGAUAGUUAAAAUGGGUUUCUGAAUUUUAUUGAAAUGCUAAUGUGAGGUUUGUGUGAAAUUCUGUUUUGUUUCUGUUGUGUUUAUGAGUUAAUCAGGUUUGGGUAGUAUACUGCUAGUUCUCCUGUCAAUAGUCCCAAGUUAAACAAGAACACAAAACAGAGAGAAAAAAUGGGUGUUAUUUCAUCAUCACCAUCACUGCAGGAGAAAGAAGGAAGAAAGCCGAUCACAGAGCAGAGAAGAGAGAAGAGAGGAUUUGGGUUUAAUUGGGAGCGAAAGUGACAUCACAGAACUGAAGAAAAUGGGUCUUUGUUUAGUUCCUUUGUCUAUGGUUGUGAAUUAUUUUGGUUGAGUUUUAGAUUUUGUUUCUUUCUCUGUCUCUCCAUCCAUCCAUGGAUUUAUUGAUGGAACAUUGAAAAUGGCUUUCUGCAGAAAAAAAAAAUUGUAUAUAUAAUAAGAUUAAGAUCCAUCAUUUUCUGCAGCAGCA